GGCUGUAGCAGUCAUGUCUGGCAGGGGAAAGGGUGGAAAAGGCUUAGGCAAAGGGGGCGCUAAGCGCCACCGCAAGGUCCUCAGAGACAACAUUCAGGGCAUCACCAAGCUGCCAUUCGGCGUCUAGCUCGGCGUGGGGCGUGGCGCGUUAAGCGGAUCUCUGGCCUCAUUUACGAGGAGGACCCGCGGUGUGCUGAAGGUGUUCCUGGAGAACGUGAUUCGGGACGCAGUCACCUACACCGAGCACGCCAAGCGCAAGACCGUCACAGCAUGGAUGUGGUGUACGCGCUCAAGCGCCAGGGGCGCACACUGUACGGCUUCGGAGGCUAGGCCGCCGCUCCAGCUUUGCACGUUUCGAUCCCAAAGGCCCUUUUUAGGGCCGACCACUUGCUCAUCUGAGGAGCUGGACACUUGACUGCAUAAAGUGCAACAGUAACGAUGUUGGAAGGUAACUCUGGCAGUGGGGCGGCAGUCGGAUCUGAAGUUAACGGAAAGCUACUGUGGCCCAUGGCGCUCACAGCCGUAAAGACUUAAGUCGUUGACCGAAAGCGGCUUUUUCACUUACUUGGGCUUUUUUUUUUUUUUUUUUUAGCCUUUAUCGAUAUGAAAGGUUGAAUGUGCUCUAGGUUUGAGCACUCCUUUCUCGGCUUGCUCUUCUGGAGCAGUAUAUAGGCACACCUAGAGGGGCACGUCAGUCUUUGCGAUCACCAGAUCUGGUUCAGAGAAAUAGGCACUGGCAAUUUACACGUGCCUUGCUAGGUAAUCUCACUAUAUUUGCUCAGGCAAAGUGGGAGAAUCAGCCUUAGAUUUUCGUUCUAGAGAUGCCGGCUUUCCCACAUGAUCGGCUUAGAUUUCGCGAUGGACUGUUCUGGGCUUCAUUUUACCCUCUGCAUAACAAGCGGGUGGACUAGAUGCCUUAGUAAGGGUCCAUGUUAUAUGGUAUCUUCAGCCACGCACUCAGCUCAAUCUUAGCACAGGUAAAAAAUGAGUUUCUAGCAAGCUAUCUGCCCAGU